GCCAUGUUUAGCCGGAUUCACACAGUUAAAAAUGAAAACUCCCUUGUCCUGCUGUCGCCAGUAAUUUAACUCCUUUUACAUUUGUUUUUGACCAAAUUAUUUUUUAUAAAAAUGUCGUGCCUUUGAUAAUAUGUCACGUGUGUUUGUGUAAUUGAAGGAGGCUUUAUUUCUCUGUUAUGGACCCUCUCAACCAGGUGGAUGUCAUGCACCUUCAGGAGUCUCGUUCUUCAGUUUUAGAUAUGUCAAUGAGUUGCAGACCGAGUCCUUUAAAGACAAACUCAGUGGAAGUUUUGAAUCUGGUCAAAAAGUCAAGCUGGCGUGGCAUUACGUCAGGGAGAAACAAAAAAAACAAUAACAUGUCACAACGUCGGUCGGAUAGGCCUCGCAAUCCAAAUGCACUUGAUCACCAAGAACCAGCAUCACAACGUCGUGGGUCAAGGGCUUCUGGCAAGUCUUCCCGGGACCCCUGCUAUUUACCUUUACCACAGAUCAAUGGUCCGUCAUCUGUCCGUGUGUUGGCGGAUGAUGAUGAGGCUUGUCUUGUGGAAAUUGAUGACGUUUGGAUGCAAACAAAAAAACUUUGCAAGGAAACAGAUUCAAGCACAUUAGGAGAUAGGACGGAGCACAAUGGAUUAGAAACACAUCAACAACACAUUGUUAACAGUUGUGCUGAAACCUACUUAAGUGACACUGUCUCGGUCAUGUCACAGACUAAGAGCUCAUCACAUUUACCUCAGGACACCAAUGCUGCAGCGAACACGCAACUUUCCACCAGAUCAGCGGUUAAGCAAACUGCUGUGCACACUCUUGAAUCCCAAUGUACCAGCGCUAAGGAAACAUCUUCAUGCUCAGUUCAGUCCAUCUCUAGUGAUGAUGACAGUGACAUUGUUGAGGUGCCGGUAACCAACUCCAAAAGCACGACGCCUCCGAACUGUAGCUUUGAAAUUAGGAGAGUUAUAAUCAAUGACAUGCAUACAAAAGGACGUAAUUCCUCCACAAGCCAGGAAAUUGACAGUGACGGUGAAACGCUCAACUCAAAAAAUGUGAACGAUGUCCCUGUGCUGGAUGGACCAGAUUUUAAAGCCCAGGAUGUUAAGACUGGAUCAGAAUCCAAAUCGCUGCUGUCAUGGAUGGAAUCGAUCAUGAUACCAAUCGUCCCACAGGACAGCGAUCAAGACACAAAUCUGGCUUUUCCCAAACUCUUCCCUUCUACGUCAGAUACAGAAAACACAAGCAUCCUGAGGUCUCCACCGAGUGGGGCAUCGUCUUCGACAUCCAAGCAAGCACGGAAUAAUCCAGCCACAAACAGCAUGAAGCGAUCCAAACCCAGGCCCAAACAGAAGAAACCCCCCCAGCGGGUGAGAGUUUCAUCGGGCGGAAAGUCGGCAGCGAGCACACCCAAAAGAAGACGUCGCAAACCUUGCUUUUCCGGGACUGCAUCCAUGUUUUCUCCUCAGGAGCCGGAGAUCAAACUUAAAUAUGCAAACAUUAAAGAGGACAAGAAAGAGGCAAAGGGGGAUGACUUUGCCCCGUACAUUCACAUGGAGUUCUCGUCCUGCACAAUCGUCAACUUUAGGGAAGCGGAUGUUUUUGCAUCCAAGAAAGGGCAGCAGCCGUCCGUUUCUGGUGUUAUUCCAAAGACUUCUUGUUUGCAGCUGGGACGUGUUGGCACAGAUGACAGGUUUCACAUCAGGAACAUCUGCUCUCUGUGCGGCAGGACGGCCAAUUGUGAAGGUCUUGGGGAUUUACAUGGGCCGUACUACCCAAGUGGAGUUCAGCCUGUCUGUAAGAACAACAGCAGCCCCCCUGCUCAGAGACAAGAGGGCAGAGAUUUAGACUCUGUCUAUAGUUUAGAGGAUGGUGUGGCUCAGGUUGUCAAAUGGACAGAUAUUUCAUCAUCUAAACGGCAGAGUAGAGAGAACUGUAUAAAGAAGGAGGAAGAGUCUGGUGUUUAUAGUGAACACUGGAUACAUGGGGACUGUAGCAUUUGGUCUGCAGGUGUCUUUUUGGUUAAAGGAAAACUCUACGGAUUGGGGGAAGCCAUUCAGUUGGCGCAAGGAAUAGUGUGCUCACACUGUCACAGAGUCGGUGCCACAUUGGGAUGUUUCUUCAAAGAUUGCCCAAAUAAAUAUCACUUCCCCUGUGCCCUGCAGUCAGGUAAUGGUCAUCUGUUUACUUCUACCACCACUGUCCCUCCAUACCUAUCAAGUCACCAUUCAAAGCCAAAGGGUUGUGAAUGUCUUGUUUUCUUUAAGCUUAUGCAAUGUCCAGAAUAUACAUUUUUCCUGUCCAGAGUUGCAUUAAUUUUCCGACCAAAAUCUUGUAUUGUUAAUUGGAGAGUCGAACUGCUUCUCAAAGUCUUAUCCAGCACAUCCCGAAGAUACUCAGUGGGGGUAAAGGUCUGUGGUGGCCUAGCCAUGUGUGAAAAUGAUGUCUCAUGCUCCUUGAACCACCGAACCAAUUUGAAAACCGAUGAAUCCUGACAUUGUCAUCUUGGAAUAUGCCCGUGCUAUCAGGAAAGAAAAACUUGUUAAUGGAAUAACCUGCUCAUUCAGUAUAUUCAAGACGUCAGCUGACCUCAUUCUUUGGGGACAUAACGUUGCUGAACCUAGACCUCCAAUCCAAUGGAGGCUCUUUCCUAUGUACUGUGUUAUAUCCAGGUGGUGACGUUUGGACGGUCAGUGUAUGUAUUAAAGUUGUUUAUUAAUUGUGUAAGAGCAUGUCAUUGAAGUGCUUUAACACCAUUGUCACGACUCUGGUGGUCAGGCUGCUCUGUGGAUUAUCUCACUCUAAUUUCUACACUUAUUCAUGUGUUAACAGUUCUAAUGUAUGAAAUCCUUUUUAAUAUUUCCACAGACUGUGCACUCAGUGAGGAAAACUUCACAAUAAGAUGCUCUAAUCACAAGAAUAAAUCCUCCAGAAUAAGUGUGAGCAGAUUGAAGAACAGAUGACAUCUGGGAGGCAAUGAAAUGUCUUGGAAGGUUAACUUCAUCAGACAUUUGUUUCUCUGACCUAGGAGUUUACACAUUUUUACUUGAUUUUAUUCUUCUAAUAUUUGAGUGUUAACAUGUACUGUCAGGCAGAUGUUUGUUCAGAACAUGUCUGCCGCUGCCUUUUUGUCGGGUCGAGAGGUUCCCUCAGACGAUGCUGGAUUCAUUUUUUUAUUGCAUUCCUUUGCAUUUUGUACACUUGAGACGUAUUCAACCUUUGGAGAUUUUUUAAUCUUCACAGAAGUUUCCGCAAGGCCAAAUAUCUCCUCCUGAUCUACUUCAGACUGAAUCCAGUUAAGUGCUUUACAGCAUUGUACAGAGUGAAUGGAUUUAACUAAUGAAAGCAUUACUUGAUUUAAAAUAAAAACACAAACACCACACGUACAUUGAGCUUACAUGGACUCCAUUGGCUCAUUUUUCAUUUAAUAUGAAACACAAACUGAAGGAGUAAUGUCAGCAGGUGGUGAAUGAGAUGCUUGUCCUAAAAUGGUACCAUAUGCACUAUUAUGUGAACAUAUUUAUUUCUAUUUAUGUCUAAUGCAUAUGUGUAUAUUUAUUUUGAACUUGAGACCAAGACCAGGCGUGUUUUGGCAUCUGCAGUAAAGUAACUGAAAGAAUGUAAACUUCUUUAUCAUUUGAUGUGGGUAAUGGCUACAGGGUUAAAUAUGGAUCUGAUUUCAAUUUCAAUUGUGGCCGAAGAAUCAAGGAUCCACCUUGACUGGAAUUUUGCAUUUCACCUAAUGCCUUGUGAUGUCUUGUUCUGUUUUAAUAAACAUUUUUAAUCUA